GUGCUUGCUUUGACAGCACAUAUACCAAAAAAUUGGAAUGAUACAGAGAAGAUUAGCAUGGCCACUGUGCAAGAAUGACAUGCAAAUUCAUGAAGCAUUCCAUUAAAAA
ensembl:snRNA U6 U6 spliceosomal RNA